AAACUCUUCCAAAAUUUUCUCUUCAGCACCAUUAAUAAGGUACGGAUGAUUGCAGCAUUUUCUUAGUUCCAUCAUAGUGUUUAAAAGAUUAGGUACAUUUGCCUGACCUCCACCCUUCGAGAGAAACGCAAAAUUCUUCUCGAGAAUAGCACGAUAGUACUUCUUCUGAAUAUUCGUCAGCUCAACUUCAAUGAUGGUUUCCUCUUUGGGGGCC
rnacentral:lncRNA from 1 species